GAUUACUGGACGUGGAAGGAGAGCGAGAGAGAGAGAGUCGGGGAGAAAAAAUGUUCCAACUCAUAUCAGAUGUGCAUUUUUGGAUGGAAAACAGCGCCACCCAGCGGUUCAAGCAAAUGGAAACGCAUAUUUUUCUUCGAUUUUCCAUUAACCACAAUUUCUUAUCUUAAGAGAGCAUUAUGACAAGAAAAGGCCAACAAUAAAGAUUAUGUUAAUUUAAUGUCAUUGGGUGAAAUAUAAUGAUUUCAUGUGACUUCGGAGUUGUAAACGAGUUCAUAGUAAAUAAAUAACUGUUAAAAAUGUAUGGUAAAACGUGUUAAAAAUAUAUGGUAAAAAUUAUUGUCCAUAAAGAAUCGUUACAGUGACAGCAAGAGUAAGUGCUGUUCUCGCUAUUAGACAAUCUUUGACAUUUUCCCGUUUGUGAAGCGCAAGCUAGCAAUGGCAGAAACGAUUGAAGUUUGAAAAAGCUCCUCAACAAGCUGUUUGUUUUAAAAACGUUUAAGCCUGUAGUACGCCUUGUGAAAAUGUCUUUAGAGGAAAGCUGCGCCACAAGCAGACACACUUUGAGCUGUAUUUCCAAGAAACGCACAGUUUGGAAGAAGAAAAAGCAGAUUUAACCCUUUGAAGCACGUUGAACCCAACGUGUUGUGCUCCAGCAGCAUUGCUUCCCAAGGUUCUCGUUGCUCUCAUAGCAACCGGAGUCCCGUGGCGAGUCUCCGACCAGACCCUGUCCCCCGGACAGAAGUUUCUCCUGGGAGCCCGACAGGCCGCCUCCGCGCUCUGGAUCGCUGCUGCCUGGAGACGCACAAAUGCGCUGCGGUGGAAGGUCUGGCACGCCGGGUAUCCCACCUUGAGGUUGAUGCGUUCCAGCAGCUCCUCCACGGACGUGGGCUUGGGUGGUCUGCCCUUCCUCCGCCUCCUCACCGGCCGCUUGGGUUUCUCUUCUUCCUCGCUCAGCACGUCCACGUAGAUGAACUUGAAGGUGCCCACCUUGUUGUUGAGCAGACCCAUCCAGGUGCC